UACGUAGGGACCGAGCGUUGUCCGGAAUCAUUGGGCGUAAAGCGCACGUAGGCGGUCUGUUAUGUCGGAUGUGAAAGCCCUUGGCUUAACUGAGGAAGUGCAUCCGAAACUGGCAGGCUAGAGUACUAAAGAGGGUCGCGGAAUUCCCGGUGUAGAGGUGAAAUUCGUAGAUAUCGGGAGGAACACCGGUGGCGAAGGCGGCGACCUGGGUAGAUACUGACGCUGAGGUGCGAAAGCGUGGGGAGCAAACAGG
rnacentral:rRNA from 1 species